rnacentral:rRNA from 1 species
AGUGGCGGACGGGUGAGUAACACGUGGGAACGCGCCUUUAGGUUCGGAAUAAGCCCGGGAAACUGGGUCUAAUACCGGAUGUGCCCUUCGGGGGAAAGAUUUAUCGCCUUUAGAGCGGCCCGCGUCUGAUUAGCUAGUUGGUGGUGUAAUGGACCACCAAGGCGACGAUCAGUAGCUGGUCUGAGAGGAUGAUCAGCCACAUUGGGACUGAGACACGGCCCAAACUCCUACGGGAGGCAGCAGUGGGGAAUCUUGCGCAAUGGGCGAAAGCCUGACGCAGCCAUGCCGCGUGAAUGAUGAAGGUCUUAGGAUUGUAAAAUUCUUUCACCGGGGACGAUAAUGACGGUACCCGGAGAAGAGGCCCCGGCUAACUUCGUGCCAGCAGCCGCGGUAAUACGAAGGGGGCUAGCGUUGCUCGGAAUUACUGGGCGUAAAGGGAGCGUAGGCGGACAUUUAAGUCAGGGGUGAAAUCCCGGGGCUCAACCUCGGAACUGCCUUUGAUACUGGGUGUCUUGAGUGUGAUAGAGGUAUGUGGAACUCCGAGUGUAGAGGUGAAAUUCGUAGAUAUUCGGAAGAACACCAGUGGCGAAGGCGACAUACUGGAUCAUUACUGACGCUGAGGCUCGAAAGCGUGGGGAGCAAACAGGAUUAGAUACCCUGGUAGUCCACGCCGUAAACGAUGAUUGCUAGUUGUCGGGG